rnacentral:sRNA from 2 species
CGCCCGUCAAACCAUGGGAGCUGGUAAUGCCCGAAGUCGGUUUAUAAACAAACUGCCUAAGGCAGGACUGGUGACUGGGGUUAAGUCGUAACAAGGUAUCCCUACGAGAACGUGGGGAUGGAUCACCUCCUUUCUACGGAGUACAUAAAAUCACAUUUCAUUGGGAAUAGUGAUUAUUAACCUUAUUUUUUGACCUUAACUUAAUAUUUUUCAACAGUUCAUGGCUUAUUUAGGUCAUAAGCAAUAUAUCUAGUUUUGAGAGAACAUUCUCUCAAAUGUUCUUUGAAAACUGAAUAGUAAAUUAUUUUAAAAUAUUUACAACGACAUCUAAACAAAUUAAUAAUUAGUCAAUUUGUUUUGAUUCAUCGAGUAAUCAUAAAACAUUAUGAUUCAUUGAAAUGUCUUAAAAUACACAUCAUUAAAUAACCAAAUAGGAACAUACUUUUAAAUAAGGAAGAGUUUGCGGUGGAUGCCUUGGGUCUGAAAGUCGAUGAAGGACGUGACUACCUGCGAUAAGCCUCGUGGAGCCGGAUAUAUGCUAUGAAACGGGGAUUUCCGAAUGGGGGAACCUAGUUAGGGUAAUGCCUAGCUGCCAUUUUCUGAAUACAUAGGAAAAUGAGUGAGACACCUUGUGAACUGAAACAUCUUAGUAGCAAGAGGAAAAGAAAAUAAAUAAUGAUUUCUUCAGUAGCGGCGAGCGAACGAGAAAGAGCCCAAACCACUUUUAGUGGGGUUGUAGGACGAUCUACAUAGAGUUACAAAAUCAAAUGAUAGCAGAAGCUUUUGGGAAGAAGCGACAUAGAGGGUGAUAUCCCCGUAUGCGAAAUUGUUUGAUCUCUUGGUCGUAUCCUGAGUAGGGCGGGGCACGUGAAACCCUGUCUGAAUCUGCCGGGACCACCCGGUAAGGCUAAAUACUAAUCAGACACCGAUAGUGAGCUA